rnacentral:rRNA from 1 species
AUUGAACGCUGGCGGCAGGCCUAACACAUGCAAGUCGAAUGGUAACAGGAAACAGCUUGCUGUUUCGCUGACGAGUGGCGGACGGGUGAGUAAUGUCUGGGAAGCUGCCUGAUGGAGGGGGAUAACUACUGGAAACGGUAGCUAAUACCGCAUAACGUCGCAAGACCAAAGAGGGGGACCUUCGGGCCUCUUGCCAUCAGAUGUGCCCAGAUGGGAUUAGCUAGUAGGUGGGGUAACGGCUCACCUAGGCGACGAUCCCUAGCUGGUCUGAGAGGAUGACCAGCCACACUGGAACUGAGACACGGUCCAGACUCCUACGGGAGGCAGCAGUGGGGAAUAUUGCACAAUGGGCGCAAGCCUGAUGCAGCCAUGCCGCGUGUAUGAAGAAGGCCUUCGGGUUGUAAAGUACUUUCAGCGGGGAGGAAGGGAGUAAAGUUAAUACCUUUGCUCAUUGACGUUACCCGCAGAAGAAGCACCGGCUAACUCCGUG